rnacentral:rRNA from 1 species
GCGUCAGAAACUUAAAUGAAUUGACGGGGCCCGCACAAGCGGUGGAGCAUGUGGUUAAUUCGAAGCAACGCGAAGAACCUUACAGGCCUUGACAUGCAGAGAACUUUCCAGAGAUUGGAUUGGUGCCUUCGGGAACUCUGACACAGGUGCUGCAUGGCUGUCGUCAGCUCGUGUCGUGAGAUGUUGGGUUAAGUCCCGUAACGAGCGCAACCCUUGCCUUUAGUUGCCAGCAGUUCGGCUGGGCACUCUAAAGGGACUGCCGGUGUUAAACCGGAGGAAGGUGGGGAUGACGUCAAGUCCUCAUGGCCUUUAUGACCAGGGCUACACACGUACUACAAUGGCCGAUACAAAGGGCAGCGACACUGCGAGGUGAAGCCAAUCCCGUAAAAUCGGUCUCAGUCCGGAUUGGAGUCUGCAACUCGACUCCAUGAAGUUGGAAUCGCUAGUAAUCGUGGAUCAGCAUGCCACGGUGAAUACGUUCCCGGGCCUU